AUGAUGCUAAAAGGCCCAACGCCGUCCAUUAAAACGUUCAACUUGAAAAAGAGUGAACCUGAGAACACGUCGUCCCUGAUCCCAGUGUGGGAGGUGGCAGAGGAACGCAGGCAUGAAUACGCAGAGCGUGCAGCCCGAGGCCGGGCUCAGAGCCAGGAGAGGGAAUCUUCUGUAGCAACAGAUGAAGGAGGAAGAACCCCAAAGGAGUCCCACCAGUACUUUGCCAGAUGGGAACUGGAGCCAGGUGUGCAAAUCCGGACCUGCUGGUGGAUGAUGGAGCCGCGCUGGUCCUGGAGCCCCAGCAGCACGGGCUGCAGGUUGCAGCUCUGCCCAUCGCUGGGAGCACCAGGAGGAACGCGAAGCCAAAGAGCUCCGACAGGUGCCUGCACCGAUUCUGCAGCCCAUGGCAGGUUUAGAAAGCUGAGAAGUGAAUCUGUUGAUAACAAAAUUCUAAAGCCCUGGUGUUGGUACAGCAGCCCUCCGUUAACACUGGGCAUUGAGCAGCAUGGGAGCCAACAGCAGAACUGUCAGAGCUCAAAUUGUUCAGAAGAGUUCCAUCUGUGCUGAAAUAAUGGGACAAAACGAGAAUCAAAGGUUAUGGACUUCGAUAUCAGCAUAUAUCUGAUAGGAGUCACAUACCCGAUCCCAGCUCCACCCCAUACAAGCACCUAUAUUGGGGUGACACAGAUGAGCCAAAUGGUCACUUCCACAUUUUAUGCACAAAGAAGUCAAAUCCCAAACGUCCAUUUUGAGUUCCACUUAAACGCAAUGUCUUAACGCACUCAGUUACGUGGGAGCGCCUGCGCAGAGCUGUGUGUGGCACACUGCGGGCCCUCGUGGAGAUUCUGCAAGCCAGGAAGGCCUGGGAUGUGCUCUGUGGAUCUGCAGAAUGCCUUAACCCCACCCAGGGGGCAGCGUGGGGCACAGAACCGCCUCCAAACUGAGAUCCCCCUUAACUCAGACCCCGGUCCUGUGUGUGUGCGGCACAGGGUCCAGCUGUUGGUUAGACUUCCUUAUGGUGUUUUCUUUAAUGAGAAAGCUGUACAGGACAGGUCCACGUGUAAAUAAGGGAUUACGUUUAUGUAGAUGUUAAUAUUUACAUGUAAAAAGUUAUGUACAUAGGAAAGAAAAUAAUGGCUCAAAGAAUGUUUUAAAAAUAGUUUCUUCUGUCUAAAGGCACAGAAGGACAGCGACACAGACGUGCUGCUGAGCUCAACGUAAGCUCAGCUUCGUGCUCGGCUUGGGGAUGCUCAGGGCUCAGUCCUGGGGGCUGAGGGGCUCUGGGCAGCCCUGCUCCAAACGGUGGAGGGACACACACUGAACGUGUUGCCCACUCACUGCUGCUCUGCUAUGGCAGCCUUAUUUCACCUACCGGAGUUUGGAAAGAGCGUGCAGUGUGUUAUCAGCAGCACAGGGAGCUUCUGGAGGAAUGCCAAAGGAGUCAAGGUGCUCCCAGUUCGGGUACUGCAGCGCUGGGCAGAGGCACGGCCUGGGCUGGACUGAUGCAACACAGCUGAACUAAGAGCCACUCGGAUCUCAGCUCACCUGGCUGCAGGAGCGUGGCGUCAGUGAGUGCCGUGCUCCAGCAGCACCCCAGCUUUCAGCGCAUCCCCGAGUGCCUUACGCAGCUCCUAAACGGAGCCACCGGCAGCCCAGGGGCUCAGGAAUCUGUGUUGUGAAUAGUGCAGCACAGCCUGUACUGAUGCGUGGUAUGUUUGCUAGAAAGGAAUGCUGAACAUCGAGGCGAACCAGAGAAAGUGGUUCCCCCGGCCGCUGCGCUGUGUGCUGUGCUCUGUAACCUCCAGCAGCCACAUCCCGAGUGCAGAACGUUGGGUCGGUGCCGCGGCAAUGACUGCUGGGCCCAAGGCGGGGCUGCAUCGAUCAAUUACAGAAUUUUACACAUAUUUUUGUAUUGUGAUUCAUAUGAUAUAUAUCAAGAGACUUUCUAUUCAUUUGUAAAAUACAUAAAUUAUUGUAAACUUUUAAUAAAAAGAGCUGUUUUAAACCUUAAAAUCGGUGA
rnacentral:lncRNA from 1 species